CUGGCUCUGCCUCUUGCAAUAAAUACAAAAAGUAGCUUUUUAGCAGUUUUGGGCGGGGGACCUCUUCUUUUUGCCCUUUCAUGGUCACUCCCUUCUAUUUCUUCUUGCUCAAAAGAAUGGGCGGAUUUAUAACAAUAUUUGCACCUCAUGCAAAAACACAUCCAUGAAAUUUUAGUAUAAUAAAUUUGGUGGCAAACAAAAAUAAUAACUCGAGUUGCAUAAGAAGAAGGGAGAGAGGAAGGCAUGGCAAUGCCCUCCCAAUUAACUGUAAAAACAACUAUUACAAUAAAAUUAGAUAUUAAAAUAAUAUUAUAGCCUAAACACAUCGCAACCCAUUCAAAGUGUCGUUAGACCGGAACUCAAACUUGCUCUAUAUCUAAAAGUAAAAUCCUAAGCUUUAGCUUUACUGUCCUCCACAGCUAUAAAUACCACCAACCUCACCCUAGGGUCUCACCAUAUAAUAUCUGGGUUUCUUCUUCCUCCCCACCAAAAUUCUUGUUCAACCCAAGAUUUCUUCAUUUCCUUAACCAAAUAACCCUACUUUAUUUUUCUUUUGUUAUCUACUAUUUCACUUUCUUUUCUUUUGUUUAUACAAGGAAAAAGGGUCAGUUUUUUUAGCGCCCCUGUUUUUCUUCAAUUUUACUCUUAUACUCUUUGUUUCCUCUGUUUUGAUUCAAAUCAAGAAUUAAAAAAAUGCAAGAAAUCAAUCAUCCUCUUGGAUUCAAUGAUAUUGUUAAUAUUGGAUCUUCACUGUCACAGUUGAUAUUGUCAGGAGGCUCAAAUACCUUAGAUUCAAUCUUCUCUCAUUGCGCACCGUCAACGACGACAACUUCAACCGCCAUCACCACCAACUGUAUUUACGAGCCAAUAGGCUCUUCAGUCUAUCUCCGCCAGAGAGAGCUCCUUCAAAAGUUCAGCCAAGAGAACAACGGAAACGCUUCGUUUUCGUGCAACUCGCUAAUGAACCGGAUUCCGAGCUAUCCAAACCCCGCAUCGACGAGCAACUUCUAUUUAAGUCCUGAAAAGAAGAAGCAAUACAGGGGGGUGAGGCAGAGACACUGGGGUAAAUGGGUGGCCGAAAUCAGGCUCCCACAGAACAGAAUGCGAAUCUGGUUAGGCACAUACGAAACAGCCGAAGCCGCCGCUUAUGCGUAUGAUCGUGCGGCGUAUAAGCUUAGAGGGGAAUAUGCAAGGUUGAAUUUCGAAAACAUCAAGGAUCCGAGCAAGUUGGGUUUUGGAGAUGGUGCUCGUUUGAGUGCUCUGAAGAACUCGGU
rnacentral:lncRNA from 1 species